AUAUGUUGAGAUCUGGGACCAUACCCACAAAGCGUCUCAGAGUACAACAUUGGUCGUAUAAGUGCUGAGAAUAAACACAUUUGACACUUAUGGGUAUAAAUUAAAGCUAUGCAUGAAGUCUCUAGUCCCACCUAGUCGGUAGAUAUUUAGGACACCUGGUGAGCUGUCCUAAGUAGUUAAGAGUUAACAGCAGCUGUCCUAAGUAGUUAAGAGUUAACAGCAGCUGUCCUAAGUAGUUAAGAGUUAACAGCAGCUGUCCUAAGUAGUUAAGAGUUAACAGCAGGUGUCUUGAUAAUACUAUAGAAUAAUGCAGUGAGUCAGUGGUUCCUGCUCCACAUGUAAUUGCUUUGUAGUAGUUAAAAAUAAUGUUUCACAUUUCUAUAUGAUCAAUCGAUAAAUAAUGUAGACCUACAUGCAACAGUAUGUCUUGUGCUUUUGGCAAUGAUUUAUGUAUAAUAAUUAUGUAAACAAGUGAUACGUAUGUCUGUGGCGGAAGGUAGCCUCGUGGUUAGAGUGUAGAGGUGGCAGGUAGCCUUGUGGUUAGAGUGUAGAGGUGGCAGGUAGCCUCGUGGUUAGAGUGUAGAGGUGGCAGGUAGCCUCGUGGUUAGAGUGUAGAGGUGGCAGGUAGCCUCGUGGUUAGAGUGUAGAGGUGGCAGGUGGCCUCGUGGUUAGAGUGUAGAGGUGGCAGGUGGCCUCGUGGUUAGAGUGUAGAGGUGGCAGGUAGCCUCGUGGUUAGAGUGUAGAGGUGGCAGGUAGCCUCGUGGUUAGAGUGUAGAGGUGGCAGGUGGCCUCGUGGUUAGAGUGUAGAGGUGGCAGGUAGCCUCGUGGUUAGAGUGUAGAGGUGGCAGGUGGCCUCGUGGUUAGAGUGUAGAGGUGGCAGGUAGCCUCGUGGUUAGAGUGUAGAGGUGGCAGGUGGCCUCGUGGUUAGAGUGUAGAGGUGGCAGGUAGCCUCGUGGUUAGAGUGUAGAGGUGGCAGGUAGCCUCGUGGUUAGAGUGUAGAGGUGGCAGGUGGCCUCGUGGUUAGAGUGUAGAGGUGGCAGGUAGCCUCGUGGUUAGAGUGUAGAGGUGGCAGGUAGCCUCGUGGUUAGAGUGUAGAGGUGGCAGGUAGCCUCGUGGUUAGAGUGUAGAGGUGGCAGGUAGCCUCGUGGUUAGAGUGUAGAGGUGGCAGGUAGCCUCGUGG